UGCGGGAACCGAGCCCCCCCGCGCCCCCCCCGCGCCGAGCCCCGCCCCUGAGCUGCGCCUGUCCCGGGGAGCCCCCCCCCGCCUGCGGCCUCUUCCAUUGCGGGGCACGGGGGGAGCCGGUCCCGUCCCCCCCCGGCGCCACCCACAGCGGGCACGACGAAUUCCCCCCCCCAGCCACUGGGGAGCACAUGGGGGCCCCCCCCCCCAGCACUGGGGUCCAGGGGGGGGUCCCCAACGGGCGGGAGGUGGGCGCCCGCCUGCGUCGCCUGGGGGACGCCUUCCAGCGCCAGCACGAGCUGCAGCGGGAGCAGCGCGGUGCCGGCGGUGGCGUGUUUUGGGGUCCUCUCUGCCGCCUGCUCUCGCAGUUGUUGGGAGCCAUCUACAACCUGCACGAAUAGGGCCCUGCCUGCACCCCAAAACAGGGCCUGGGUCCUGCCUGCACCCCACAACGGAGCCUGGGUGCUGCCUGCACCCCAAAACAGAGACUGGGUCCUGCCUGCACCCCACAACGGAGCCUGGGUGCUGCCUGCACCCCAAAACAGGGCCUGGGUCCUGCCUGCAC